CCAGAACGUUGACCCUAAUGCUAAGGACGACACGUACACAGCUCUUGACCCCGUGUCCAGGUCCUCUGAUGAUGUGUACAACACACUCACAACUGUUCAUUCCAGUCCUUCUGAUGAUCUGUACUCAGCUCUGGAUCCUCAGUCUCGCUCUCCUGAGUACGACACUCUAGCAACUGUCAGAAACCAACACUGAAACCAUCACCAUGGAAACCACUCAAACUGAAGAGAACCACCCAUUGAAGUCAGAUAAGAGAGAGAGAGAGAGAGAGAGAGAGAGAGAGAGAGGUUGAGUGAUGUAUUCAGUACUGAACUGUUUAAAGGUCUCAUAUCUUACAUUCUCUUAUAUUUAAUUUUUUCCACUCAUAAUAUUUGUGUGGUCUGUUUUUUUAUUAUGCCUAUUUAUUUUUUUGAGCAAUGCAUCCAAAAUCUCAGAAAGGUGUAGAAAAAAUCUGUACAGUAAACAUUUUCAGAUUAUAGACAAAACACAGUGAUCUAUCUGCAGCCUAUUAGCGCUACAAAGUGUACAGAUACAGUCAUGUGCAAAAGUUUGAACCUCCCAGUCAAACGACAUGUUUAGGUGAUUUUCUAAGGGAACAAAACUAAAUAUGGCGUUUUUCUUUUUUUCUUGAGUCUCUGACCCUUUAGUCUCAA